AUUGAACGCUGGCGGCAGGCCUAACACAUGCAAGUCGAGCGGAUGAAGGGAGCUUGCUCCUGGAUUCAGCGGCGGACGGGUGAGUAAUGCCUAGGAAUCUGCCUGGUAGUGGGGGAUAACGUCCGGAAACGGGCGCUAAUACCGCAUACGUCCUGCGGGAGAAAGUGGGGGAUCUUCGGACCUCACGCUAUCAGAUAAGCCUAGGUCGGAUUAGCUAGUUGGUGGGGUAAAGGCCUACCAAGGCGACGAUCCGUAACUGGUCUGAGAGGAUGAUCAGUCACACUGGAACUGAGACACGGUCCAGACUCCUACGGGAGGCAGCAGUGGGGAAUAUUGGACAAUGGGCGAAAGCCUGAUCCAGCCAUGCCGCGUGUGUGAAGAAGGUCUUCGGAUUGUAAAGCACUUUAAGUUGGGAGGAAGGGCAGUAAGUUAAUACCUUGCUGUUUUGACGUUACCAACAGAAUAAGCACCGGCUAACUUCGUG
rnacentral:rRNA from 1 species